AUGUCGCGACUAGCAAAGUUGAACUUAAUCCCUAGUUUCACCACUGUCAAGGGAUCUAAGUGUCAAGUAUGUGUGCAAGCUAAGCAACCUCGUAAGUCUCACGUGACUGCGGAAACGAGAAAUCUUGCACCACUAGAACUUAUACAUUCAGAUCUAUGUGAAAUGAAUGGUGUUUUGACAAAAGGUGGAAAGAAAUAUUUCAUGACGUUAAUUGACGACUCCACUAGAUACUGUUGUGUGUAUCUUCUGAAAUCUAAGGAUGAGGCUCUGAACUUUUUCAAGAUCUAUAAAGCUGAAGUGGAAAACCAACUUGAUCGGAAAAUUAAGAGGCUUAGGUCCGACCAUGGUGGAGAAACAAAGAGAUAA
rnacentral:rRNA from 1 species